GGAGAGGUGCCAGAGUGGCCGAUUGGGGCGUCCUGCUAAGACGUUGUGCCCGUGAGGGUACCGAGGGUUCGAAUCCCUCCCUCUCCGCCA
rnacentral:tRNA from 1 species